rnacentral:rRNA from 1 species
UCUGCCCUGGAGUGGGGAAUAACGGCUGGAAACAGCCGCUAAUACCGCAUGAUGCAGUUGGGAGGCAUCUCUCUGACUGCCAAAGAUUUAUCGCUCUGGGAUGAGCUCGCGUCUGAUUAGCUGGUUGGCGGGGUAACGGCCCACCAAGGCGACGAUCAGUAGCCGGACUGAGAGGUUGGCCGGCCACAUUGGGACUGAGACACGGCCCAGACUCCUACGGAAGGCAGCAG